GUUUCUCAAGUGGAACUCUUUUGUGGCCAAUGCCCUAGGAGCUAUCUAGCACUACAGCAGUGAAAGACCAAGGCCCGGCCAUCAGAGGAUUCAUAUUAUAUGUUACAUAAUGUACAUUUUAUCCAGGAAGGGGCCAGCAGAUAACCAGGUGCCUUUGGACUAGAGACAAAUGCCAUGGAAGCUGAUGAACUCCAGAUUUGCGCUGAGUGAACGGCCA
rnacentral:lncRNA from 1 species